GAAAAGGCAAGAAUUGCGUGCCCUAAUGGAAGUUAAACUAUAACUUUUAUUAUAACAAUAAAAGUUAUGUUUUAACUUCCAUUAGGGCACUCAAUCCUUGUCUUU